UUUUUUUUUUUUUUUUUUUUUUUUUUAACAAGCCCUCAUUACAAAGAGGUUAUUUAUAGUGUUAUUCUAAUAAGAAGCUAAAACAGAGCAGCCUUUUAUUAGAACUCGCAAUAAAGGGCAUUACACUGAGGCCUCCCUGUAAAUACCACUUACUGUGCAAAAGUUGGCCUGGGUAUUAGCAGAGAGUUCAUUUAGCUAGGAAGGUUUUAAAGAGUUUAAGCAGCAUUCAUUCAAUUAAUUCCACAUGUGACAAUGGCAUUUUAUCCUAACUAUUUAAGAACUCAGAAAUUAGGAAAAAAAAAAACCAAAAAGAGAAACUGUUCCCUUACGAGCUUCAUCUGAAGAGUUUUAUUAAAAGUCCUGUAAGUUUGCCUGUUUGAAAAUAUCCAUCUAAAACAGCCUUUCUGCAGUUCAAAUACAGAAAAUUCUGAGAUAAUAAUAAUAAUAAUAAUACCCUUGUCUUCUAGGUGAAUAUAAGUGGGUGAGAGAAAGCAGCAGAGGAGCUCCUUUUGGCUCACUCCUCUGCAGUGAAGGUGUUUUCUGUAAGUCCUGACCGAGGCAUCUUCAGCCAGGGAAUCUGAGGGACAGGGCCUUGGCCCCUCCUGAGCACAGGCUCCUGGAGGGUAUGCUUUGUUUCAAAUAACCCAUGAAUAAAUUACGGGAUUAAGGCAGUUUUCUCUGUCUCUUGAAGUCGUUGGAGUGCAGGUGAAGAGCAGCCCCCAGGCUCCAGAAACAUGCUCAAAAUCUGGCUUAGGGAUGGAGCAUCCCGCUCACCCCUGCUGCUCCUGGUGCUGCUGGCCCCGUGCCCAAAUACAUCCAUGCUCUCUACACUAAUUUUUGGGCUUGGGCUGCAGAACAGGUGCUUUCUCUCUCCCCCCCGCAAGUGCAAUAACGUGUUGCGUUAACAGCCGCAAGUGCAGCUUCGGGGAGUUUUUGAGGAAAGGGGGAAGGAGGGGCAGACGAGAGAGAAGAAAUCGAGGAGACAGAUGUGCGUGUCCGAAGGAGACAGGCGGAUUUCGCUGGUGCGGCGGGCAGGGACGGUGCCAGCUGCCCGCUGUGCCGGAGCAUCUCCCCGGAGCCGCGCUCCCCGAGCUCCGCCGCCGCCGGCUCCCGGGGAGAACCGGGGCUGGAAAUGCACCCGCCCGCCGCCGAGCGGCACCAAGGCACCGAGGCACGGCGAGGUCCUCAAAAACAUACCCCAUCAAGGCGGCAAGACGGGAAACCGGGCUUUUCCCUCUCUGCCAGCAGGAGGGGGGUGGAGGGGACGCUGCCCGGGGAACCCCUUAGAGCCUGUCCGAGGAGCGUGAGGCAGCCGGAUUCGCUCCUGCUGAUCACACGCAAAUGACUGGAAAACUAGUGGGUCUGCAAGGGAGACUUCUCAGUUCUUAAGCAAUAGCAAGGAAAAGGUUUCUAGAGCGGCAGGGUGAGUUAUACAGCGAGGAAGGGAAAUUCCAGCCCAAAUUCCAGCUUUUGUCUCAAGCUUCCCUCCUUGCAUGUCACUAUGUACCAGGCAUGCCUGUAGAUGGCGAAGCCAGUCUGGUGCACAAGUAACUUCACUGACUUUAAAAAAAUCUGUUCUUUUGUUCACAUAAAAACUAGGGAAAAUUAAUUAUGCCGAGGGCUUUGGAUACCCAAGAAAUCCACGUUAAUGGAGCAGAGUUAUACCCCUCAAAAAUCUCACUGCAUGCUUUGGUAACAUCCUCAAGGCGCAUAGGACUCUUUGAACCAUGGAUGCAGGGACAAACUAAACACAGAGCAAGUUACUCUGAUGUAGAAAAGAUCCCAUACAUCUGCCAGUGGUAUAACAACAAACAAUUUUGGAGAGUCUGGAUAUGUUUGUUUUUAAUUGCUUGUAAACUCUGUUAAAAAGAGAGACAUUUUUAAUAUUUUCAUUUAUGUAAGCUGCUACUAAUAUUUAAAUAAGCAAAGUCAUCUUUACUCCUCACAAAGGCAAUGAACUGAGAGUUCAGGCUUAUUUAUCCAGGCAUUCUAGAAUACAGGAAUGCUAGUGAAGCAGUAUUAUUGAACAUAGCAAAACAUUUUGCAUUAGACAAGAUUAAGAAAUGCUUAUACCAUUUAGUGUGGGGAUAAAACCAUCAUAUUUAAUGGUUGUUUAAGGUGAAGCUGGGGAUCUCUAGCUACUCUUACAACUCCAUUUUCUAUUAACUGAAAAAAAUGGAGCACUGAGAAAUGGUUGGGAUUUUCUAGUUAAGAUCUUCAUGUGACCCAAGCUGUAAAGAAUACUGAACUCAUUUUCUUGUUUCUACUGUGCAAGUGUGCAAUAUAUCCUAGGUUUAAUUCAGUGGUUUUCAUACAGAUGUUUACUAGGACAAAACUAAUUAAAAAUAAGUAUUUAAUUGGCUUAUCUUCUUUUGGCAUUCAAUAUGGGCCUGGAGGAAAGGUUUCCAACAGCCUAUGCUGUGCAGUAACUCCUUCCCUUUCACUUCAAAAAAAUGAGAGCGUGUUAUGAAUUCUGAAGCCAUUUCAGUAUGCCAUUAAGCUGAUGCUUAUGAGUUUUGUUCUGAUGCUGUUGCUAUGCCAAUUUGAGACAGGAAAACAGUCUCUAAGCAUUUACUGAAAACAUUGCUCAUCAACUGGAAAAAAAAAGAAAACAGGGAAAAAAUCCAGACAUCAAUCUGGUACUUGAAGAGAAACACAAGCUCCCCUGUUCUGGCAGCCGGUUCUCCCACAUGUACACAGAGCCCUCUCCCUGCCAUUGUGAAAUAUCCACAUAUGUCAAGCACCCAAAAAUGUAGCGAAGAGCAAAAGAGCAUUGUACAGAGGCUUUCUUGCCACUCCUCACAGGCAGUCACAGUGUUGCUGAGUUGAUGCCCAACAUCUUUACUAAGCUCAGGCCAGACUGGGACAACAACAUUUUUCUCCCUAAGAGCUGAUGAGCACAAAUCCUGAACCCAAACAUAGAAAGAGCAGUUAAACGCUAUUUACUGUGUGAUUUAGACAGUUUAAAUCUGCCCUCUGAGCAUCCUUUUCGACCAUGAGAAAUUAGUUUUUACACUGCCUUAGGCCUUUUGUGCCCUGGCCACAUGCUGAAGGAAGACAUUGCAGGUGGAUAGAGUGUGCAAUUGGCUGAGGAGGUGAUGUGAUUUAAUUGUGCAGGCUCCAGGCAAAAUGCUAACUGUCAGGCAGGACCAGAUGCUGCUGUAGUCCCAGCUCUGGGCAUCCCUCAAGGGUAGAGUUAAUGGUAUGUGGCACCAGGGAUUGCAAAACAGCAUAGCUUUUUCCAUCCAUAGUAAACCAUGCUUCUUCUCAUGAAAUGUCUCAGCAUUUAGUUGAAGUAUAUUUAGAAGCAUUCAUGUUUGCUAAAACAACACAAAAAAACCCCCCUCAAACUCAUUUGAACUCUCAUUCGUAGUGAAGUAUUAACAUACUUUUAUCCAAAGUAAAAGUCAAGAACAAGGCUUUGGUUUUCUAAUCUUUUUUGGGAAUCAUAGUUCUUCUUUGUUUCUACCAUUUUGUUCAAACUCGUGACAUCAUACGGUUACUUAUUGUAUUAAUAUUUAUUUUAUGUGCCAAAAAGAGUUUAAGAGCAUCAGAAAAGGGAAUUUGGAUACUUUGCUUAGUGUUUAUCCAUGGGAAAGUUUCACUUCUGGUUCUCAGUUUGAAGAAAGUUCUCAGAACACAAGAAACUCCUGCUUCUGACCAGCUGUUCUCUAAAGAUCAGUCUGUGUUAAGUUAAGGUUGCUGCAGUCACCCCAGCCCCUCCACCCCUCUCCCUGCCCUCGCAUGAUGACUCAACUUCUAAUGACACAAUCACACAUGGGUUUUUCCACAGCACCUGUCCCAUUUGACAGCCUGUAAUGAAUGAAAGGGUUGAGCAAUGUUUAUUUUUAUCUUCUCUUUUCUAUUUGAGCUCUGCUUUGGGGACAACUGUCAAAAGCAUAUUUAACCACUCUCUUAUAAAGACUUGCAUGCAUUCCUCCAGUUGCAUCCCUGUGCAAAACUGACCUUCAGAGUUACAGCUAAGUAAAGUCACAAUUUCCAAGUAGAAGACAAUUUUACUUUAUUUUUCUGAUUAAAGAAGAGAGCCAGCAGCAUUUUGCAUUUCUCACAAGGGAACAUUUCAUCUUUGGGGGGAAAAUGGAGCUCUUCCAGCUCUUCCUCAGCACUGUAGUUUUAAUAGAGAGAGUCAUCCUGCCCCAUUCCACACAGGAAUGCUAUUACAGGUAUUGUAUGUAAAAUGUUCAGCAAGACAGCUGGACAUGGGACUGAGGGAUGCUCACACAGACAAUGCAAGCUGUGUCAACAAGCACUAGCUUAACAAGCAUGUAGGCACAACUGCAAAAAUAAACAUUUCUUGUGCUUCCUUGAUCCUUUUUAAACGAUUGAUUGUCACAUCACUCUCGGUUUUCUUUCGUGGUUGUUCUCUAUCACAAGGAGUCUCAUUUCCUUGUGCUGUUUUUCUUCUAUCUGCUCCCAUACUGGGAAGGUUUGACAGGAGCCUGACCAAGGAGGAGCUGGUAGAGAGCCUGAAGAGAUGCAAAACCUCAGCCCCUUCUCUUACCCCAAACUUUCCUCCUCAGUCCCGGCUAUUCUUCCCCUGGAAACCCACCCACUUCCACUGAAUGUUUGCAGGCAGAAGAACUUCUUCUGUGUGUGCACAGCCAUGACAGGCAGCAGCACACGUGUCUGCCAGCUCCGGCUCAUCGGGCAUGCUUGGCCAGCAGAAAUAGCAAAAUGCAUGCCCUUCCAGUAUAAGAAACCUGCAGUGAAACCUUUGCUAGGUAUGAUGCUUGCACAGGCAAGAGCAUGAGUAUUUACAUCCAUUUGUUAAGUGCUUUCACUUCUCCACUUAGCAGGAGGAGCAAAUAGGAUGGCCAUUCAGGGGCUGUGCAGGGGAUCAAACCUUUGGCUUUGUGUGCUUUAGAACUGUGGCUUCCAUCUACUUACAUCAGUCCCUUUUUACAGAUUAGUUGCUCAAACCUCCAUGACCGGGUAGUAGUGGAGCGAUUGGCCAAAGGGGACUGUAUCAUUCUUUAUCCAUUACCAGAGUCAUUGCUUUCCCUGGCAUUGCUUUUCCCUGGCUUUUCCUAACACAUGCAAGCACCUGCAGUCCCUAUUUGUACAGUUGUGUGUCCUUCAGGGAAGCUGCUCACCUAACCUGACCUUGUCAGAUGCCUGCACUGUGUUGCAGGUGAGUAAAAGGAAAAUGUUUCUGGAUGCGGCCGUGUCCAGUGACUCCAGCUGCACUGCACACUGCUCUGCUUUCAGCGUGUGGUAAGAGAAAGCAGAAAGUAAAGACAACAUUUACAGUGAUCAGUGGGAAAAAGAGUGGGAGGCUUUAUUGAAAAUCUCUUCUCCAGAUAUUAUUCACGUUCACAUCUAAGCGUGGUUUUUCAGGGACCUGCCCAUCUUGCCUCCCUUUCCUCUCCCACAGAUUUCUGCUCAGUAGGUACCACAGGGGUAAAGCAGUCUUUAUCUGAGACCUUUGUUCAUUAGCUAUCAGUGGUUACUACCAUAGGAGGCUCACAGGUAAGAUCAAGGCUUCAUUUUUCCAGGUGAUGUAUCCAUAAAGAUGUUGCAGGUUCCUGCUGUAGGCCUGGCCCCGAAAUGAGGCAGGAGGUCACAGCAAGCUUUGAAAUACCAGCCCCAGCUGCUACCUCAAGGUUCAAUUUAACCAGCACAGUUCCCCAGAGAGUGACAUUACCAAGAUCUCUUGGUGAGCUGACUCCACAGGCUGGAAUGGGAGAAUAGUAUUUCAAAUGAGUGGACUGGAAGAGUUCAAAGGAAUAAUAAGCAUUUAAAUUCAACAUGAAAGACAUCUUCCUCUGCAGAGCUUUAGCAUGGAAUGUAGCCAGGCAGAUAAGCUUUUUAAAAGCCCCUUUAAUCAAGACUAUUAACAUGGAGAUUUUUGUCAUAAUUAAAAACAUCCCCUUAUUCAAUCACCUUAAAGGGAAAGUGAUACAAAAUGUAAUUUAUUUUUCUAUUUGAAUCCCUUAUAAAAGAACAGAAAAAACAUUUUUUUCCUUGCAGGCAAUCACAUUGUCAUUAAAAUUAUCUUUGAGAGAAGAUUCAUUCAUGCUCAUAUUUUAGCUCGUAGUGAACUGCUGCACUUGUAUUUCAACAAAAAAGUUAGAAAGCCUACAUUUUUACUUCCCAAGUGUUCCAUUUUCUGACCAUAAGCAAUGGUGAAAUAAGUUAAAAGGAAAAUUUUUCUUCUCACAUAUUUCCUGAUAUCUCAGAAGAUGCUGUAGAAAACAGCAUCAUGUCAGCUCAUGUAGAAAGCAUACUUUCUUUUUUGGUGUUUUUUUGGGGGGCUUUUUUAUGCAUUUGGAAAUAAACCACAUUAAAAAAAGCCUACCUACUUCGCAGAAGGCAAAGCAGACAAAAUAGCAUCAUGCACUUGUACUCAGCUAAGCUUGUGAGUACCAGAAAUGGAAGAUGACACUUCAGGAGAUACAGAGUACUACCAAUGCACCUCUGUCCUUUCCUAAUUCAGGAGCUCUUAAUCCUGUCUGCUGUGGGAAUCCCUUCUUCCCUCUAAGAUAGCUGUUGACUAUUCAGCUCACAAUGAUGAAGAAUAGAAGAAAAAUUAAUAGGACCAGAGAAACUUUCUCAAAGCACCCACAGCAAGGAUGCUUCACGCAGAGACAUGGCAUCUGAAUGGAAAUAGGUGGUCCUUAGCAGGACAAGAGUUGCUGUUCACUUUGUUUUCAGGCAGAUUCGCAGACCUGAGUGGUUACAGAGGAAGAGCAGCAUAUGGGACAUGCGUGAAACCUCACUGAGCCUCCCACGCAAUGCUAAGCCAGCUAGCUAAGAACCUAAUUCUGGGCAGGGAAAAUAUCACCAUCUGACAGAGCUUUGCCAGUGUGAAGCAGCAUUUCUCACAAGCUGAGAAGCUGUUCAAUGGUACAGCUGUGGUGAAUUUGAGGAUGUAUCCUGUUGAUCUUACUAGAACCAAAGAGAUUUCAGAGUCCUUUGCUUGUCAUGCUCCUAUUGCUUUGCACUCCUCAGAUUUUUAGAAAAUGUUUUUGCUUUGAAUCCUUCUUCAUUUCAAACUGAUAUUGACUGAACUGGAAGAUCCAGAAGGAGCAUAAAUCACAAUAUAUCAUAUACACCAGCUCAGUGCUAACUCUGGUUUAUAGCACAGCUGUGUGCUAACCCAGCUCUGUUGUUUUGUCCCUGGAACUUGACUGGCCAGCUUCUGCAAAAAGCCUUUUGUUGGACUUCAAAACCUGAAAAUAAAUUUGAAAAUUCCAACGUUCUGAAUGAAGCCUUGAGCAGUGCACUUUCAAGGUGCAUCUUACCCUCUCAUGGUGUUGAAAGUGAUCAAACAUCUCCUUACCUGAAUUGAAAAUGCUGAAGCAGCUGCAUAACCAAGCAUCUGCUUGAUAAGGUGGGACAUCCCCAUGCAAGCACCCAUCUGUACAGCCCUGGUGUAAGUGCCCUGUCUGAGCCAGAGAACAUAUGCUGAAUGGCAACUACCAUAUGAGAUUGCUGCCUGACAGGGCUCUUCAAAGAUCAAGAUCACCCUCCACUAAAAAUAUUAGAUAUGUGUAUUUUGUUCUAUAGAUCUGUAUGGGUUCAGAGCAGCAUCUACCUUUUUACAAGUGAGGAGCACCUGCAUCACCAUAGCUAUUUAUAUUAUAAACUUCAUAUCAGCUUUUCCAAGCAGGUCUAAAUCACAGACAACCUCUUGCUUUCCUUGGCAACUUAGUCCUCUACCUUCACCCUUCAGAAACUUGAUGAAAUAUGCUAAUUUCCACCAGGCUCUAUCUGUUCCUGUUCCUUAGAAGGUGUCUGUGCAGGCCACAAGCUGAAUAGAGCUGUGCCAGCUUAUGGCAGCAGGCAUCAGCUGUGGUAUGACUUGCUUACCAAGCCUUGAGCACUGCCAUGUUCUGCCCUGUGCAUUACAGGCAGCCUUUCCUUGGGGGUACAUGUCUGGAGGAACAGAAAAAGCAGGAUCCACCUGAGGUGCUUGGAUGGUUCCUAGGCAUUGAAUCUAUUUAGUCACUACUUGAAACUGAAUCUAUUUGAGGGCUGCUUGAUGACUUUAUUUAAUAAAAAGGCUCUUGUUUAAUGCUGGUUACUCUUACAUUUAGUGAAAAAAGAGAGAUUAUUUCCAAUAUUGUCUCCUCGGAUAAGAAGAAUUAGCUGCUUUUGCUGAUAUAAUCUCCUCUUAGUAAGUAACCAAGAAAGAUUCAUUAUUGUCUCCUGAACCUAAAGAAAUGUCAAAGGUAUUAAAACAUUGACAUUUUGUUGCAGUGAGAUCUGUGAGAUAAACCAGUAAGCUGCCUGAAGGCAAGAUCUGAGAUUACUCACCUGAUUCUGUUGUUGUGAUAUGUAUGGCAUUGUGGCAUAAAAUUGCUGUGAGUCACCCCCUCCCCUGUCAAGGUUCACACAAAUAUCUGUGCACCAUUUAUCAUGGUUAUAAUGGACUCAAAAGAAACAGAACUAGAAACUGAGAGCUGUUUGUGGUGCUGAUUUUCAGAACAAAAUAUGACCUUGCUAGAACCUGUAUUUUUUUUUUUAGCAGUGCCAAAUAAAUGCUGCACAUGACCUUAUCAGAUGAUGCUGAAAAAAAAACCAGUAUUAAAUCAUUUGGGUUCAGCCAGUUGGUACUCAGAAUCAUCUAAACACCCUAAAAAAAGAUUAUUUCUCCUAAAUUAAUUUCUUUUCUUCCACCUAUCUUUCCUGGUCCCAUUUUUAUUUUAUUACAGUCCUUUUCAAGUCCAUUGAGAAGACAACAUGAAAAAAUCCUUGCCUUAUGAAAAGACUUGUCCUGUCUGAGUGUCCAAGAUACCCAUUCUUCUUGUUCACCUUCUGGGGACUGUGUCUACUGUCCAGCUGUAGCUCUGUCCUUCAGCCUUGUGCCUUUAAGCUUACCAUGGCCCAUAUUUCUGAACCUGUUUGAGUUAAACCACACAGAGGCAGGCAGUUGUCAUCCAGCAUGUAGCAGCACCCUGGGUUUCUCUCUUUGCUGCCCAGGACAGCCUGGGGAAUGCCCUUGGCUUGUUUCACCCUUCCUCCAGGUUGCCUGAAACUGUCACAGAUCACAGCGGGACAGACAUUCCACCAGCACAUUUCUUCCCUUUCACUGAGUAUAUGUUUUAGAGGCAAUAAAUACUUUUGGGCUUUCAAAAAAAAAAAAAAAAAAAAAAAAAC
ensembl:lncRNA